rnacentral:rRNA from 1 species
GACUCUCGGCAACGGAUAUCUCGGCUCACGCAUCGAUGAAGAACGUAGCAAAAUGCGAUACUUGGUGUGAAUUGCAGAAUCCCGUGAACCAUCGAGUUUUUGAACGCAAGUUGCGCCCGAAGCCAUCCGGUUCAGGGCACGCCUGCCUGGGCGUCAGCAUCGCG